AUUUUAAUAGUUUAUUAAAAAUGUUGAUCUUGUAAUUCAAUGAAAUCUAUUCAGAUUUAAAAUAUCAGUAAAAAUA
rnacentral:tRNA from 1 species